CCGAUGGAGGGGGAUAACUACUGGAAACGGUAGCUAAUACCGCAUAACGUCGCAAGACCAAGAGGGGGACCUUGGGCCUCUUGCCAUCGGAUGUGCCCAGAUGGGAUUAGCUAGUAGGUGGGGUAACGGCUCACCUAGGCGACGAUCCCUAGCUGGUCUGAGAGGAUGACCAGCCACACUGGAACUGAGACACGGUCCAG
rnacentral:rRNA from 1 species